rnacentral:rRNA from 1 species
AGGACGAACGCUGGCGGCGCGCUUAACACAUGCAAGUCGAGCGAGAACCCAGGCUUCGGCCUGGGGGAAAGCGGCGAACGGGUGAGUAACACGUGGGUAAUCUGCCCUCGACAUCGGGAUAGCCCGGGGAAACCCGGAUUAAUACCGAAUAGCCCAACAGCUUUUCGGAGCGGUUGGAAAAGGUAGCUUUGGCCUCCGGUCGAGGAGGAGCUCGCGGCGGAUUAGCUUGUUGGUGAGGUAACGGCUCACCAAGGCGUCGAUCCGUAGCUGGUCUGAGAGGACGAUCAGCCACACUGGGACUGAGACACGGCCCAGACUCCUACGGGAGGCAGCAGUGGGGAAUCUUGCGCAAUGGGCGAAAGCCUGACGCAGCGACGCCGCGUGAGGGAAGAAGGCCUUCGGGUUGUAAACCUCUUUCAGGAGGGACGAAGCCACUCGGGUUAAUAGCCCAGAGGGUGACGGUACCUCCAGAAGAAGCCCGGCUAACUACGUGCCAGCAGCCGC